GAUGAACGCUGGCGGCGUGCCUAAUACAUGCAAGUAGAACGCUGAAGGAAGGAGCUUGCUCUUUCCGGAUGAGUUGCGAACGGGUGAGUAACGCGUAGGUAACCUGCCUGGUAGCGGGGGAUAACUAUUGGAAACGAUAGCUAAUACCGCAUAACAGUAGAUGUUGCAUGAUAUCUACUUAAAAGGUGCAAUUGCACCACUACCAGAUGGACCUGCGUUGUAUUAGCUAGUUGGUGAGGUAACGGCUCACCAAGGCGACGAUACAUAGCCGACCUGAGAGGGUGGUCGGCCACCCUGGGACUGAGACCCGGCCCAGACUCCUACGGGAGGCAGCCGUAGGGAACCUUCGGCAAUGGGCGGAAGUCUGACCGAGCAACGCCGCGUGAGUGAAGAAGGUUUUCGGAUCGUAAAGCUCUGUUGUAAGGGAAGAACGAGUGUGGGAGUGGAAAGUUCACACUGUGACGGUAUCUUACCAGAAAGGGACGGCUAACUACGUG
rnacentral:rRNA from 1 species